rnacentral:tRNA from 1 species
GGGUGUAGUUCAAUUCGGUAGAACGGUGGAUUGUGGUUCCAUUAGUUGUGGGUUCAAGUCCCAUCACCCUCCCCA